GGUGAUAGUUAUGUUGAAUGAUAUGCUUAAUGGAAAUAUUGGUUAAAAGUCUUUUGGCUUCACUCCAUAACGUUGGUAGUUUAUAAAAAUGAGAGAGAGGGUGAAGGAUGAUUAGGCGAUUGAUGAUGAGGAGAAAGGUUGCUUGGUGAAGAGAUCCAUAUAGCAACAUCAUACAUUAAACGAUUUGUGUCAUCCUUAUGAUUACGUGGUUAUGUAUACGUUACAGGGUAUAAAGGGUAUAAAGAAAAAGAG